rnacentral:rRNA from 1 species
UACGUAGGGGGCGAGCGUUAUCCGGAUUUAUUGGGCGUAAAGCGUGUGUAGGCGGUUUGUUAAGUAUAAGAUAAAAGCCUGGGGCUCAACCUCAGUUCGUCUUAUAAACUGGCAGGCUUGAGUGUGGUAGAGGCAAGUGGAAUUUCUAGUGUAGCGGUUAAAUGCGUAGAUAUUAGAAGGAACACCAGUGGCGAAGGCGGCUUGCUGGGCCAUUACUGACGCUGAGACACGAAAGCGUGGGGAGCAAAUAG